GGAAGACGUAGGAUUAGGAUUUUAAGGAUUCAACCCAUCCAUCCAUCCAUCCUUAUCUUUCAAGUCUUAGUAUUUUAAUUGGAAGUUGACAUGUACGAGUGGCACAUAAAACAGAAAGGAAGCUGCUUCUGUUGAUUUUGUCUUUAUCAUCAUAAUUGACAUUCCACUAGAUGUUCUUCACACCUCUUCAUUGUUUGCCCAUUUCAUGGCGUUCUCUCUUGCGAAUCCCGGUGUUGCUUCACCUCAUCUUCUUUUGGCCACUGCCAACAUUCACCUUAUCUGACACCAAGCCAAGCUGCAAUGUCGCAACAUUGCUAUCCCUUACCUAUUUGGAAUUGGAGAUCGGAGCUGUUUCAAAGAGCCAGACCAUGAAUUGAUCAGGGGGGUUAUAGAUCAAAUGUUAAACAUGACCUUAACUCAUUGCUGCCAUCAAUUUUUAAAAUUCACGGGUAGGCCUUGGGCUCUUGUCUCUGCUCGUUGCUGCUUUUUGAAUACACUGGGGGUUACCGAAAAGGAAGCUUAUCAAAUUCACACAACAUGUCUUCCAACAAAACAGCAACAACUUUCCUUACGGGAGCGAUCAUUAGAGACUACGAAGAUCUUAACAGCGGAAGAGCUUGAAAAAGCAACUAACAACUACUAGUCUCCACCACCAUAUAUAUCCAUGAUCAUGAGGGCCUCACUUUCUUUUCUUGGGAAAAUUGAUUAAGAAUGGCAGCUGAAACUGAGGAAGCACUGGCCUAUUUGCAUUCUGUAGCUUCUCUUCCUAUCAUUCAUCGACACAUCAAGGCCAGAAACAUCCUUCUGGACAAUCAUCUAAGAGCCAACGUUUCGGAUUUUGGUGCUUCAACGUUGGUUCCUCAGGAUCAGACUCAGUGAAGUACAUUGGUGCAAGGGACACUAGGGCAUUUAGCUGAAAUGUAUUUUAUCUCUUCAAUGAAAGAGAAGUGCCUUCAAUGAUAGUGCACCAUCGGCUUUUCCAGGAAAUGAAUGCUGAGCAGCUUAGACAAGUGGCUGAUGAGUUA
rnacentral:misc_RNA from 1 species